UGAUGGCGUUGAAUAACUUCCCAUAUAUGCCCGAUAAUCCGGUUCGGGUGUCUCUACGGCGGGGCCAUAACUCUGCCACUAUGGGUGCAUGCGUUCAGCGG
rnacentral:ncRNA from 2 species